rnacentral:rRNA from 1 species
GAUGAACGCUGGCGGCGCGCCUAAUACAUGCAAGUCGAGCGAACAGACGAGGAGCUUGCUCCUCUGACGUUAGCGGCGGACGGGUGAGUAACACGUGGAUAACCUACCUAUAAGACUGGGAUAACUUCGGGAAACCGGAGCUAAUACCGGAUAAUAUAUUGAACCGCAUGGUUCAAUAGUGAAAGACGGUUUUGCUGUCACUUAUAGAUGGAUCCGCGCCGCAUUAGCUAGUUGGUAAGGUAACGGCUUACCAGGGCAACGAUGCGUAGCCGACCUGAGAGGGUGAUCGGCCACACUGGAACUGAGACACGGUCCAGACUCCUACGGGAGGCAGCAGUAGGGAAUCUUCCGCAAUGGGCGAAAGCCUGACGGAGCAACGCCGCGUGAGUGAUGAAGGUCUUCGGAUCGUAAAACUCUGUUAUUAGGGAAGAACAAAUGUGUAAGUAACUAUGCACGUCUUGACGGUACCUAAUCAGAAAGCCACGGCUAACUACGUG